GGUGGUUCUUGGGUGACACGCCGCGGAAUCAGGCUCCCUCCUCUCUGGUUCCGGGUGCAUCACCUGAGAACUACA
rfam:Myotis davidii contig33696, whole genome shotgun sequence.